CUCUCGGUCGGUGCUGUCUUUUUCUUUUCUUUUUCUUUUUCAAGGUUUUCUUCUUCAUGUACGUAGUCCCUAUAUAAUAUUGCUUGAACUUUGAUAUAGCUAGCACUUACAUAUCUCAGUUAGUACACCGAGUUCAAGAAUAUGGUCAAGUUUACAACUCUCUCUGUCUGUGUUUCUGUGCUUUUCUUCCUCCAUUUGGUGUUUUUUGUUCACGGGAAAGAUGAUACCAAUCAACUGCUGGUGGGCAAUGGAGAUUCUGCUCAUAUGGGAAGAGCAGAUCAUGAGUGUAGAGGCAAGGAGAGGGGAAAGUGCAAGAAAUUAGGAGAUGAAGAGUCAGAAGAGACUCUUUACGAGAAUGAGGACUACAUAUACACUCAAUCUAAUCCUUAGAUCAUAGUUAUUCUCUUUCGUGUAAUAUUGUAAUUUGUGAAUUUUCUGUUAAUUCAAUCAAUAAUGAAGCCUUGGUGUUAAGCUAGCAA